AACGCGAAGACACUUACCUGGUCUUGACAUCCACAGAACUUUGCAGAGAUGGUUUGGUGCCUUCGGGAACUGUGAGACAGGUGCUGCAUGGCUGUCGUCAGCUCGUGUUGUGAAAUGUUGGGUUAAGUCCCGCAACGAGCGCAACCCUUAUCCUUUGUUGCCAGCGGUUAGGCCGGGAACUCAAAGGAGACUGCCAGUGAUAAACUGGAGGAAGGUGGGGAUGACGUCAAGUCAUCAUGGCCCUUACGACCAGGGCUACACACGUGCUACAAUGGCAUAUACAAAGAGAAGCGACCUCGCGAGAGCAAGCGGACCUCAUAAAGUAUGUCGUAGUCCGGAUUGGAGUCUGCAACUCGACUCCACGAAGUCGGAAUCGCUAGUAAUCGUAGAUCAGAAUGCUACGGUAAUA
rnacentral:rRNA from 1 species